AAUUUUUGAGUGCUUCUUCCUCGUGCUGGAGAUUUUAGGUUUCCUGAACUAUCUUUUGGUUACUCUGUUUCAGGUCAAUUCUUCAUCUCCUUCUCCCUCCUUCUGCGUGCUCUGCCUCCGGUCUGUGCUUGCCGCUCGUGCCUUGCGCUCUUUCUGCGUGCUUUGCCUCUAUGUGUUGCCGCUCGUGCUCUGCCUCCUGUCUCUGGUCUCAGACAUCCACCACUCCCGCCUCCAAUCUCGCACCUCAGACCACUUCCAUCAUCGUCAAUCGCACUCCCAGGUACCAUCCUUCACUCGCGAACAACCGCUCCGCCUCCUGCAUCUGUUUGCCUCUGCCGGUCUCAGAACCCGCGCCCCUGCUAGCCUCAGACACCGCCCCUUCGCUAGAUUGUUCGUGCCUCCUCUUCUCUUUAAUUCAUUUCGGUGCUUAACCCAUAUGACUACCAACCUAUAGAAGCAUACGCAGCUGCUCAUGGCACGCAUACUCUCUACUUCAGGUUUACCCCCAUCUUAUUCAGUUCCUAUGCUCUACCCUCUAAGCAAUUGUCUUUUUCUUUUUUUCUCUUUCGAGAAUUUUACCUUAGAAUGUCAUGAUCGGAAUUGGUUUAGGUUCUUUUGGUUUAGAUAUUUUUUCAAAGUUGGAUUUCAGAAAUUGUUCAGAGACAUCCAAAGAUAAUCUAAAUAUUGAGCAAGAACUUCACAUGUGGAAAGAAAAGGCAAAGGAGCAAGAAAUGAUCAAUGAAGAGCAAAAUGUUAAGUUGAAAGAUGCUGAGUACAAGUUAAAAGAUCAAGGACGUCAACUAAAAGUUCAACAGAAAUGAAUUGGUUCUACUGAAAAGACAAUUCAUGCUUUGUAUAAAAAGUUGAAUCUCCCACUUCCUUCAACCUUGUCUGAUCCUACGAAAGAUGAGCUUGGGAUAGGCUCUAGUGAUGAUAACA